rnacentral:rRNA from 1 species
CCGCGGCAAGACGGAAAGACCCCGUGAACCUUUACUAUAGCUUGACACUGAACAUUGAGCCUUGAUGUGUAGGAUAGGUGGGAGGCUUUGAAGUGUGGACGCCAGUCUGCAUGGAGCCGACCUUGAAAUACCACCCUUUAAUGUUUGAUGUUCUAACGUGGACCCGUAAUCCGGGUUGCGGACAGUGUCUGGUGGGUAGUUUGACUGGGGCGGUCUCCUCCUAAAGAGUAACGGAGGAGCACGAAGGUUGGCUAAUCCUGGUCGGACAUCAGGAGGUUAGUGCAAUGGCAUAAGCCAGCUUGACUGCGAGCGUGACGGCGCGAGCAGGUGCGAAAGCAGGUCAUAGUGAUCCGGUGGUUCUGAAUGGAAGGGCCAUCGCUCAACGGAUAAAAGGUACUCCGGGGAUAACAGGCUGAUACCGCCCAAGAGUUCAUAUCGACGGCGGUGUUUGGCACCUCGAUGUCGGCUCAUCACAUCCUGGGGCUGAAGUAGGUCCCAAGGGUAUGGCUGUUCGCCAUUUAAAGUGGUACGCGAGCUGGGUUUAGAACGUCGUGAGACAGUUCGGUCCCUAUCUGCCGUGGGCGCUGGAGAACUGAGGGGGGCUGCUCCUAGUACGAGAGGACCGGAGUGGACGCAUCACUGGUGUUCGGGUUGUCAUGCCAAUGGCACUGCCCGGUAGCUAAAUGCGGAAGAGAUAAGUGCUGAAAGCAUCUAAGCACGAAACUUGCCCCGA